CCUUCUCUCGAUGCAAUCCAUCUAUCGCUCGAUCUCACUCGAUACUUUCUCGAUCUCACUCGAUUUCGCACAAUACUUCCCGAUCUCACUCGAUACUUCUCGAUCUCACUCGAUCUCACUCGAUCUCACUCAAUACUUCUCGAUCUCACUCGAUACUUCUCGAUCUCACUCGAUCUCACUCAAUACUUCUUAGUAACUUAAUCAUUUCGCCAACAUAAACGAUGGAAUACCUUUCCACCGGAUCCGUCAUCCGCCUCACUCGUCGAUCUCGAUCUAGGAACACAAGAUCUCGAUCAUCAUAACAAUACUCUCGAUAACUCUCACUCUUUUUCUCUUCUUUCUCGAUCACUUCCUUGGCGGCGCUCAAAACGCACGAUAACGGAUGAUAAACCCUAGUUCCAUCGAGCCAUCUUUUAUACUCUCGAGAAGAUAACCGAUCCUCCGAUAUUAUCUCGAGAAUAUUCGCAUAUCCCAACACUUAGUCGAUAAACUCGACUUAAUAUCCUUUAUUCGCACCAACACUCGCAGGCCAACGAGUUUGGGCCGAUAGAAAGCCCACGGACUAACAUUCCGUCUAUAGAGUUUCGACCAAAACUGUCCGAACCGAACAUCUGUCCGAU
rnacentral:lncRNA from 1 species